UAUCUCUCUUUCUCUUCCCCUUCCCUGUCGCGUAGGCUUCAAUCUCACCUUGGUGUGCUUAUCCCCUCACCGCCAGCAAUUCACUACUCCUUUCCCUUUGUUGUUCGGCCAUUUCUGUCCAGAGAUUGAGGGCCUUCUCUUCUCCUUCUUCCAUGUUGGCCACUUGCUGAUUCAUGUUGGUUGCCAUGGUGUUUCGUUGAGGGUGUAUAAAAGAAGAGGGCAUUGAUAAGUGUUGAAAAGGAGAAAUCCUUGGGUUUUGAGAACUUGUCAGAACUUUCCAUGAAGCUUUAGGAACGUGUGUUUGUACAUAUAUCACAGGUUGGUCGCGUUAAAUUUUUAGGGCGUGACAAGAACAUCUCCGAUCAGUUGCACGCGCGAGAAAGAAGAAGACAAAGAAUUUCAACAGCAACGCACAACUCAGACUACCACAGGCAUAGACUUCCAACUGUUGAGGGGAAAGAAAAGAAAGGCUGAACAUACAUGCAAAACACACCUCUUUCAGCCACAGAAGCGGCAAAAAUCAGAGCAAAAAUUCAUCUCAGUACCAGACAGCAAACGGACGAACAGCAGAAACAAAGCAGUGAAGCAAGAGGCACACCGACGGUGAGGAGAAGAACACGCUGGAGGUGAGGAGGAAGGGUUCGACAGUGAGAAGAAGGGAGUAAUCUAAGGUCGGUGAAGAAGAGGUUUUGCGAAUGCUCUGUUUUUGCCUACUCUCGAAGACAAAAUCCGAUCAAAUAAAUUUUGGGGAAAAUAGCAAGAAAAAGCACAAAGAAAGUUACAAGG